UCCAGGCGAUGAUUCCCGCGUGGGCGCCGCUUUCCUGGCCUGAUUCCAGGCCAUUCGUGUCGAGCUUCUUUUACCAGAAAAAAAAUGGCGCAUGCGAUUCCCUGGGCAGACCUGAUCGAUCACGGAUCACGGGGAGCUGGCCUUUAGCUAGCGGGAGCAUGGCUUUUUUAGCCGCUCGCUUGCCUCCUCGCUGGCCCGAAAGUGCAACCUGCCUCCUCUAUUCCUCUCAGUCCUCUGAGCCUACCACUCUGCACUCUACGCAUCCUCCCCUUCUCUCUCUAACACACACACUCCACCAUCGCAUGAACAUUGAAAACCGAAGAACACACUAGCUAGUUGCGUUGUGCUUCAUUUCAGAGGCAAUGGCAGAGUUGCCACCUUUGCUUAAUGGGUUCUACGACGAGGGCCACCGUUGCCACGGGUGGAUAGAUCACCAGGACGCCAUGACCGAGCCCCCUCCCACGUUCAGGCUGCGAGGCUAUACAAAAUGGGAUCUCGAUCCACGUUUUGUGCCUCGUCUAGCAGUCAGCGGCCUACUGUCGUUGGCUAAGAUGUUAUCUACGAGACACAGCCUUAUGCUUGACAGUUCUCUGUUGACAACAUUGGUUGACAGAUGGAGACCGGAGACACACACCUUCCACUUCCGGUGGGGGGAGAUGACCCCAACUCUGAAAGAUGUGAGCAUGAUCACCGGUUUGCCACUCGGUGGUCCGCCGGUCGUGCCACAACCAGAAAGUCUCACCUGGCGUGAGGACCUGGGACAACGGUUAGGUAUUGCACUCCCGAGAAAGGAAGGUGGUAAAGAACUCCGGGGGGUACCCAGGAGUUGGCUUAACCACUUUACAAAUGUACCUCCCGGUGCAGACGAUUACAUUAUACGUACACACCUGAUUGCAUACUUGUUGUGGUUGUUUGGUUCGGUUAUGUUCCCGUCGUCAUCCGGUGAUACAAUCCCCCCUAGUUAUAUAGGCAUUGCUGUUGAAAUAGCGGACACUGAUUUUCAUGAAAUUGUAGCUUAUAGCUGGGUAUCUGCGGUGCUUUGUCACACAUACAGGGGUUUGUGUGACGGCGUUCAGAAAAAGCCAACGAGAAAAGAACCGAUACUCUGUGUGUGCUACAUACUUCUACAGUUGUGGUCGUGGGAGCAUCUCCCGAUCGGACCACCGCACAUACAAAAUCCAGUCCACCCAUACGAGGUGGCUGACCCGCGUUUUGAACCAGCAACCUUUGGAAGCCGGUGGACACAUGCAAAAUUAAGUUGGGCUAGAAAGUAUGCAGCAAAGUGUUAUCCUCUAUACCACAAUGAAUUUGAGAUGUUGCAUGACACCGAGGUGAUAUGGGACCCGUUCAGUCAGGACGACAUAGUCAAUGUAGGUUGAGAUGUCGGGUUGUCGGUGCAGUGUACAUACGACUCCGGUAUCUGGAUGACGCGUUGCAAGCUAGUCUUCGCACAUUUGGUAGAGCCAUACGAGCCUGAACGGGUCAUGCGGCAGUUUGGUCUUUUCCAGGAGGCAAACAAAUCAAGGCAAGAACCGACACAACCGGCGACUAGCAAAUCAAACUUGGAUACAGGCUUGGAGCGAUGCUUUAACCGACACUGUCAAUGAAGCUAG